CCUACGGGGGACAGCAGUGAGGAAUAUUGGUCAAUGGACGAGAGUCUGAACCAGCCAAGUAGCGUGAAGGAUGACUGCCCUAUGGGUUGUAAACUUCUUUUAUAUGGGAAUAAAACGUUCCACGUGUGGGAUUUUGUAUGUACCAUAUGAAUAAGGAUCGGCUAACUCCGUGCCAGCAGCCGCGGUAAUACGGAGGAUCCGAGCGUUAUCCGGAUUUAUUGGGUUUAAAGGGAGCGUAGGUGGAUUGUUAAGUCAGUUGUGAAAGUUUGCGGCUCAACCGUAAAAUUGCAGUUGAAACUGGCAGUCUUGAGUACAGUAGAGGUAGGCGGAAUUCGUGGUGUAGCGGUGAAAUGCUUAGAUAUCACGAAGAACUCCGAUUGCGAAGGCAGUUCACUGGACUGCAACUGACACUGAGGCUCGAAAGUGUGGGUAUCAAACAGGAUUAGAUACCCGGGUAGUC
rnacentral:rRNA from 1 species